UACGUAGGGGGCAAGCGUUGUCCGGAAUCAUUGGGCGUAAAGCGCGUGUAGGCGGCUUCGUAAGUCCGUUGUGAAAGUCCAGGGCUCAACCCUGGAAUGCCGAUGGAUACUGCGGAGCUAGAGUCCGGAAGAGGCGAGUGGAAUUCCCGGUGUAGCGGUGAAAUGCGCAGAUAUCGGGAAGAACACCCGUGGCGAAGGCGGCACUCUGGGACGGUACUGACGCUGAGACGCGAAAGCGUGGGGAGCGAACAGG
rnacentral:rRNA from 1 species